UCAAUAUGGAACUUGUAACUUUUAUCACAUCAUAGUGGGGUGAUCCUGUCUAUUUCAAUUCAGUGAAGGCUAAUAAAAGGUAUUGGUAUAGUACAGUGAUUACUGUGAAUUGAAAUAUUUGGGUUUCUUAUUUGCUCAAUAGAUAGGUAGGUGGUAUAGUAGUGACAGUGUCUUGAAAUAUUUGGAUUUCUUUUUUGCUCGGAGAGCAUGUAAUAUAGCCUUAUAUGAGGAAUACAACCUAAGAAUCGAUAACCAGUCAGUGGAAGAUGACAAAACACUCAACUUUCUGGCCAGGGGAAGAUGCUGAUUUAGUGAUUUCAUAUGUUUCAAAAAGUGCGGCUACUUGUCCAUUUAAAAUAAUUAUCGUGAGCUGGUUUCUAUUUUUCCAUUAUCAGUUUACAUUUAGCCUUCUUAAAAAGUGAGUUUGGAAACGUAAAAUAUAUAUAUAUAUAAUCUAUUUGGUCAACUUUCAUGUUUGAAAAUUGCAUAAUCUUUAGAAUUCAAUUUUUUUCAACUGAAAAAAUAAGCCAUUUUGAAAAAUGGAAACGUAAUUUGAAAAAAUUCAAUACGUUUA
rnacentral:misc_RNA from 1 species